rnacentral:rRNA from 1 species
UGCAGUCGAGCGGAUGAAGGGAGCUUGCUCCUGGAUUCAGCGGCGGACGGGUGAGUAAUGCCUAGGAAUCUGCCUGGUAGUGGGGGAUAACGUCCGGAAACGGGCGCUAAUACCGCAUACGUCCUGAGGGAGAAAGUGGGGGAUCUUCGGACCUCACGCUAUCAGAUGAGCCUAGGUCGGAUUAGCUAGUUGGUGGGGUAAAGGCCUACCAAGGCGACGAUCCGUAACUGGUCUGAGAGGAUGAUCAGUCACACUGGAACUGAGACACGGUCCAGACUCCUACGGGAGGCAGCAGUGGGGAAUAUUGGACAAUGGGCGAAAGCCUGAUCCAGCCAUGCCGCGUGUGUGAAGAAGGUCUUCGGAUUGUAAAGCACUUUAAGUUGGGAGGAAGGGCAGUAAGUUAAUACCUUGCUGUUUUGACGUUACCAACAGAAUAAGCACCGGCUAACUUCGUGCCAGCAGCCGCGGUAAUACGAAGGGUGCAAGCGUUAAUCGGAAUUACUGGGCGUAAAGCGCGCGUAGGUGGUUCAGCAAGUUGGAUGUGAAAUCCCCGGGCUCAACCUGGGAACUGCAUCCAAAACUACUGAGCUAGAGUACGGUAGAGGGUGGUGGAAUUUCCUGUGUAGCGGUGAAAUGCGUAGAUAUAGGAAGGAACACCAGUGGCGAAGGCGACCACCUGGACUGAUACUGACACUGAGGUGCGAAAGCGUGGGGAGCAAACAGGAUUAGAUACCCUGGUAGUCCACGCCGUAAACGAUGUCGACUAGCCGUUGGGAUCCUUGAGAUCUUAGUGGCGCAGCUAACGCGAUAAGUCGACCGCCUGGGAGUACGGGCCGCAAGGGUUAAAACUCAAAUGAAUUGACGGGGGCCCGCACAAGCGGUG